UUUUUUUUUCCCCCCUUGGUUCCUCUCUCUGUCCACCUGCCCUAUCUGUCCAUCUACCCCCCUCUCCCUCUUCUCUCUCUUUUAUUUUGUAUUCCUCCUUUUCUUCUUAAAGUUAAUAAAUAGUGAAGUAUUUUAGAUUUUUAAGACUGGUCUUUCUGGGAAGGAGAAUUUUCUUGGCUAGGGUUGGGUCAAAACAUGCAUUUCUGGAAAGAACAGUACUUUCCAAAAAUGUUAACUGUUUCGACUCAAUGUGUUUCUGGCACUAUUUGGUUAUUUUGUACUAUGUUAGGUUAUGUUACUACUUCAGAUCCCUUUUUGAAUCUUGCACUGGGGCCUGUUUCUUGUUGUUGUUGUUGUUGUUGUUUGUUUUUUUCUUUUUAGGGCUGCACCCACAGCAUGCGGAAGUUCCCAGGCUCGGGGUCGACGAAUUGGAGCUACAGCUGCCAGCCUACAUCAUGGUCACAGCAACGUGGGAUCUGAGCUGUGUCUGCAACCUACACCACACCUCAUGAUCAAACUGGAUCCUUAACCCACUGAGCAAAGCCAGGGAUCAAACCUACAUCCUCAUGGAUCCUAGUCGGGUUUGUUAACUGCUGAGCCACAAAGGGAACUCCUGAUGCUAUGUAGUUCUUGAACUUAUAAAUAUGGGAAAUACUCCAUCUGUCUCUAAGGAAAGCCCUUUAGGGGCAUAUCCUAAGUAAAUGGUCCAAAUAUAGCUUUGAGUCUGAGUAAGAAAGAGAUGAUAUGUGGUCAUUGCAGGUGGUCCCCAUUAUAUGCCAGCGUCUGAAGCCUGGUGGCCCCUGAGCGGUUCACUCAAUUACUAUACAGUCUUGCAAUUGGAAUUAUUUUGUGAAAGACCAGGGAAAACACAAAAACCUGUCUAUUCUUGUCUGAAAGGGGGACCUUGCCAGGGAGAAGAGAAAGGAUUUACCCGGUUCCUAAAAUCACCGAAAGACCCAUCCCAGAAUUCAGCCUGGUGGGUGGAUGCCCCAGCCAAAAGGCAUCCUUGUAAUGGAAAGAUAAAGAAAAUGGAAAUGAUGAAAGAUUCCACAAUGAAACUUGAGCUCCAGAGGAUAUGAGAGAGCCAUGGUAGGAAGAAUUUUUUGGUCAACCUCAAGGUAGAUAAACUGAAAUUAGAAGCGUGUUGCAUUCACCUGAG
rnacentral:lncRNA from 1 species